rnacentral:rRNA from 1 species
AACGUGGGUAACCUGCCCAAGAGACUGGGAUAACACCUGGAAACAGAUGCUAAUACCGGAUAACAACACUAGACGCAUGUCUAGAGUUUAAAAGAUGGUUCUGCUAUCACUCUUGGAUGGACCUGCGGUGCAUUAGCUAGUUGGUAAGGUAACGGCCUACCAAGCCGACGAUCAGUAGCCGACCUGAGAGGGUGACCGGCCACAUUGGGACUGAGACACGGCCCAG